AGUCUAUUGCGGCGUUGGUUGCAUAAAAGUCCAGCCUUAGAGAAAACUCGUCCCGAAGGAACGGAAGUGACUGGAAUGCAUAAAUACUUUAAAGCAAUUUUACAGAGGCCGCUGUUGGUGAUUUUGCGAAGUUCCCAAAAUAUGCUCCCAUAAAUUCUCGCCAGUCCCCUCUGAAGUUAUCUGCUGGGAAUCUGAAGAUGAAGUUGUACCUGUUUCGAGACGUGAGGUAGAUGACAAUAGAAAUCUAUUAGGUACCUGGAAUUGAGCUUGAUAUUCCUGUGUUUCCAUCAUCAACUCGUCAAUAACAAAUUUUUGAGCAUUAUCUGCAUUUGUCUCGACGCCAAAACCAGCUUUUUUAAACUUUGGAUCCAUGAAUGUUGCUUCGGCAACAGUUUUAUUGAUCUCAUGACCGCCAAAUCUUCUAUCGAAAACCUCCAGUAAUUUUAUGUUUAACCUGCUGGCGACUUCGGAAUUGGAACUGCAACUUCUUAGUGCCGUUUGUACUCCUCGAAUAAGAGGUUUUAAAACACAAAGGUACUCGUGCACCUCGAUCCAUUCGUCAGCGUUAAGGUUAUCCGGACAGCCAGGUAAUGAAGAAAUUGCAGCAGAAA